rnacentral:rRNA from 1 species
GGCAGACGGGUGAGUAACGCGUGGGAACGUGCCCUUCGGUUCGGAAUAACCCAGGGAAACUUGGGCUAAUACCGGAUACGUCCGUAAGGAGAAAGAUUUAUCGCCGAAGGAUCGGCCCGCGUCCGAUUAGCUAGUUGGUGAGGUAACGGCUCACCAAGGCGACGAUCGGUAGCUGGUCUGAGAGGAUGAUCAGCCACACUGGGACUGAGACACGGCCCAGACUCCUACGGGAGGCAGCAGUGGGGAAUAUUGGACAAUGGGCGAAAGCCUGAUCCAGCAAUGCCGCGUGAGUGAUGAAGGCCUUAAGGGUUGUAAAGCUCUUUUACCCGGGAUGAUAACGACAGUACCGGGAGAAUAAGCCCCGGCUAACUCCGUGCCAGCAGCCGCGG